rnacentral:rRNA from 1 species
GACGAACCGUGCGAACGUUGUUCGGAAUCACUGGGCGUAAAGGGCGCGUAGGCGGCGUUUUAAGUCGGGGGUGAAAGCCUGUGGCUCAACCACAGAAUGGCCUUCGAUACUGGGACGCUUGAGUAUGGUAGAGGUUGGUGGAACUGCGAGUGUAGAGGUGAAAUUCGUAGAUAUUCGCAAGAACACCGGUGGCGAAGGCGGCCAACUGGACCAUUACUGACGCUGAGGCGCGAAAGCGUGGGGAGCAAACAGG